rnacentral:lncRNA from 1 species
CUCUAGGACUCUGCUAAGCACCAGAGCCAUAACCAGGGCAGGGCAGCAAUGGCUUUUUGCUGGUGUACUGAAAUUUAGAAGGUAUUGACAAUGCAGUUCCAUCUCAAGCUUUGCUUCAUUCCUUCAGGAAACGUCACCCCAGUAAUCUGUUAUUCCUGGAUGAAUGCUGAAUAAACUGGGAAGAUUGUCAAGUCCAACUGAUAUCCAAGAAACGCCAUUCAUUGAGCAA